CCUCGCGAUGCGUCGCGACGGCGGGCGGCGAGCCCUUCAGCGGCUUGCGCGCGGUCUCGGCGAGCGCGACGACCGAUACGAUGCCGAUCACGGCGGC
rnacentral:tRNA from 2 species